UACGUAGGGCGCAAGCGUUGUCCGGAAUUAUUGGGCGUAAAGAGCUCGUAGGCGGCUUGUCACGUCGGGUGUGAAAGCCCCGGGGCUUAACCCCGGGUCUGCAUUCGAAUACGGGCUAGCUAGAGUGUGGUAGGGGAGAUCGGAAUUCCUGGUGUAGCGGUGAAAAUGCGCAGAUAUCAGGAGGAACACCGGUGGCGAAGGCGGAUCUCUGGGCCAUUACUGACGCUGAGGAGCGAAAGCGUGGGGAGCGAACAGG
rnacentral:rRNA from 1 species